AAUGAACGCUGGCGGCGCGCCUAAUACAUGCAAGUCGAGCGAGAAGACGUAGCAAUACGUUUGUAAAGCGGCGAACGGGUGAGGAAUACAUGGGUAACCUACCCUCGAGUGGGGAAUAACUAGCCGAAAGGUUAGCUAAUACCGCGUACGCUUCUUGGACUUCGGUUCAGGGAGGAAAGCGAUACCGUGGGUAUCGCGCUCUUGGAUGGGCUCAUGUCCUAUCAGCUUGUUGGUGAGGUAACGGCUCACCAAGGCUUCGACGGGUAGCUGGUCUGAGAGGACGAUCAGCCACACUGGCACUGCGACACGGGCCAGACUCCUACGGGAGGCAGCAGUAAGGAAUAUUGCGCAAUGGGCGAAAGCCUGACGCAGCGACGCCGCGGUGGGGGAGUGAA
rnacentral:rRNA from 1 species